rnacentral:lncRNA from 1 species
GUUAUACAUAGUUUGUACUAAUUUUGGAUCUGAUUUAUUUAGGGCAAUUAAUUUAUUAUAUCCUUUCAGAGGUUUAGUUUGCCAUCCAAUUAAUUUUCUGGGUUAAAGUCUGGCGAUUGUAUAUUUUUAUUUAGGUAAUUGGCAACUUGUAUAAACUGGUUGAGGUAGUUGUAUAUUCUUUGUACAAAUUGGUUUUGUGUAGGUUUUUUGGUAAUUUCACUAUAGGUAUUUGUUUGGGGUUUUGGUAGUUGGUAAAUAAAGUCUGUGCUUUUUGGAAUAGGUUGUUCUGGUCUAAGUUGGAUAUUGAAAGGUUUAAGUUUUUUGGC